rnacentral:rRNA from 1 species
CAAAGAUUAAGCCAUGCAUGUGAGGCAGGAUC